rnacentral:misc_RNA from 1 species
UUUUCACGUAGCUAAAAGGUUUUAGUUUAAAAAUUAAAGCUUAAUUUUUAAUUUAUUUGAUUAAGGUAACUAGAAUCAAUAAAAAAUGCCAGUUUUUCCUGUAUAUGCAUCAUUUACAUCUGAUAUUCCUAAAGGUAUAGUUGUUAAACCUGAAACCACGCUUUCACAGUUUCUUGAAAAAGCUAAUGCUAAGUUGAACACAAGUGCUACUAUUGUUUGUACACGUGAGCGAAUGGAAAUUGACGAAGAUGAGAUGCUCCAUGAAUUGGAUUCUAAUACACAACUUAUUUUAUGUAGUUCUUUAGAUGAAUUCGUUCCACAUGUUAUUCAGGAUCAGACUUCUCCUGAAUCAGUCCAUGAUCCCAUUACUUCUACUCCUGCAAUAUUGCAAGUUCAAGAUCUGAACGAAGCUUGUACCUCUAGACCACAAUCUUAUAUGGCACUUCUAUUUGAUGACAGUGUAAUGGAGGCUGAAAAUACAAGCAACAUAUCAUUAAAUUCACCACCAUUGACUUCAAAGCAUAUUUCUUUAACCCAAUUAUCUAAAAAAAACAUCAAGUUUGAGUAUUUAUUGUAAGAGGCUAACCUUGGAGCUUCCUGAUUUAUCUGCUCAAUUUAUUGAAAAUCAACCUAACCUAGUCAAUUUCACAUCCUCCACAAGAUGGCAGAUUGUAGAUCAGCUUUUUUUAUCAAUUUGCAAAACCACAUUGAAUAUGACGAUGACAAACUUUUGAUGGCUAUCAAUCAUUAUUUAAAUCCUCGCUCUGUUAUUGUGAAGCAAAAACUUGAGGUUGCCGACAUGCAGCCCACAGUCUACCUCGAAGGAGAAGAAUACAUUCUAUGUAUUGAAGGUGUUGUGGUCGCCCAGAAAAAUUUUCUUGUUGACAUUAUACACGCUAAAUUAUGCUUUUUUUAUGCCUUUAACCUGAAGUAUCCUUCAGGUUCAAAAACAUUUUGGGAAAUGUUGGCAGUUGCUCUUUUAAAAAAAAGUCUUCCUUUAUCAAUAAAGGCAAAUCAAUUAUUAAAAUCUUUAUUGUAAUUCUUUAUUUAAAUCUUAUAUAUAUUAUAAAAUAAUAUUGUAAAACUUUUAUUGUUAACACAGCUUUUUUGUGAAUAGAAUAUAAAUAUGAA